AAAAAAACCUAAAAGCUCUGUGGUCUUCGUUUUUUUUUGUUUAUUUUUUUAUUGUUUGUUUUUUUAUUUUUUG
rnacentral:ribozyme from 1 species